GUUGCUUGGUUCCAUCCGUUGAUGUAUGGGUAUGGCUCCAUCGGUCCGGCCAUUGUAGCUCCCAUUCUUUCCUCCUAAACCCCACCCAUAACAUAAGGUGCUGACUUCUCUGCUAAUCAAACCCCUUUCACUAUCUCCAGCUGGAAUCUUAGCUCUGUCUUGGUAUUCUUCGCCAGGCCAUUUCCCAUCCUAAUGCCCCAACAUCCAUCAAUCACAGGAACCCAACAUAAAUCAAUCAAUGCUUAAAACAUCGAGAUAUAGGAUUUCGAAUGGCAGUAUAGUUGAAAAGAAAUGAGGCGCUGGUUGCUGCUCACUCAAGUAAGGGCAGUGUUACUAAAUUCUCAAAUAGGUAGGUGAACUCUCAAUUCCUCCAAAAUGGAUAUAUGAGAUGAACUUCUACUUUCGACUUUAGACUUCUCUUGCAUUAACUUGCGCUAACGUUUAUUGAGCAUAAGUGCGUUAGAAGGAGUUCCACAAUUCCAAGCGUUCUGUAAAGUAAUCAAAGAAUAUCAUAUAAGUGUGCACACAAUCCAAUCAUAUAACUGACAGAUUCUAUAAGUUAGUAACUUCCCUGCUGACAGCUUCCUUCAAAACUGACUUCAUUGUGCGAAACUCUAAACUUGUUUAAGGCCCUUACUUAAACUAACUCACUAACCGCUAUAGGGCUUUAUCACCUUUUACAUAUGAGAGAAGAACACCUACAAUGUACUUUUACAUAUGAGAGAAGAACGCCUACAAUGUAAUAGAAAGUAUAGUAACAAAGCGAACCUAGCACUAUAACACCCCGGUAACAAAGCGAACCUAGCACUAUAACACCCCGAAACUCACUCGAAUAAUCAAUAUAUACAUGCGCGCGCCCCGGUAGUGAGUCAGUGCCGCAGUAGCUCAAAGUCGUUCAGUGUAUAAAAUAAGAUAUAUGCUUCUUUUGGCUUUCUUUGUAUACGAGUGGAGUUAC
rnacentral:lncRNA from 1 species